rnacentral:rRNA from 1 species
GACAGAGGUCCCGAGCGUUAGGCGGAAUCACUGGGCUUAAAGCGUGUGUAGGCGGACUUCUAAGUACCUUGUGAAAUCCCACGGCUCACCCGUGGAACCGCUGGGUAUACUGGGGGUCUUGGGCCAUUCAGGGGCGACUGGAACAAGCGGUGGAGCGGUGAAAUGCGUAGAUAUCGCUUGGAACGCCGACGGUGAAAACAGGUCGCUGGGAAUGUGCCGACGCUGAGACACGAAAGCCAGGGGAGCAAACGGG